rnacentral:lncRNA from 1 species
CUUUCUCUCUCUCUUUCAAUGAUGGGGAGCAAACCCAGGGCUGUGUGCCCUAUCACUGAGUCACACCUAUGCUCCUACCUAUUUCUUUUUACUUAGUGUGUAUGUGUCUAUUAGACAAAAACACCGAAGCAGCUUACAUUAUAUUUCUUCUGGAGAGUGCUGCCUGCAGGAAGUUCCAACAACUUAGAGGCGAUGAUUCAAACCUCCCAAGUGUGGAGUUAUCCUAAAUAUCUUAAAAUAAUGCAUGUCUGUCUGGGUUUUGGCCACUUCCACGGAAGGUCAUUCCAUACUUUUUCUGGAUUUGUAAUUUAAGUAUUUCUUUUUGCUUUAAAUAUUGCUUUUCUUUUUUUUCCCUCAGAAAAGCUUCUUGCUUCAACCUAAGCCUUUUCCUUUAGCCAAAGAAUCUUAUUUCUGAGGGUCACCUGUAUAUGGGUUUGGGCAGUGCUUGGAGCCAAAAAAAAAAAAAAGACAUGGGAAAAUAAACUCAUGACUUGGGGAGACCUUCAUUGACAGGACAUUUUAAAAAAUCAUAUUGAAUGGAGUAGAUUUAUAUGUACAGGCAAUAACACAUCUCUAGAUGUAUUAUUCAGUGCAAAAGGCAAGUUUCAGAAUAAGCUAGGGGCCCCAUUUAUAUUUUUAAAACAUAUACAUAGCUAGGGCACUGUGGCAUAUGUUGUAAUCCCAGCAACUCAGGAAGGUGAGGCAGGAGGAUCAAAAGUUCAAGGCCAGCCUCAGUAAUUUAAUGAGAUACCCCACCCCCAUCAUCUCCAAAAAAGGAAGAAAGAAAGACCAAACACACACAGAGAAAACACAUAGGCAUAUACCUAAAAUCUCUCCUUGUAUUUCUCAGGGAUAGAGAUAUCUGUCUGCAUGUGUAUACACAAAGGUCAU